UACGGAGGGUGCAAGCGUUAUCCGGAAUCACUGGGUUUAAAGGGUGCGUAGGUGGCCCGAUAAGUCAGAGGUGAAAGCCCGUCGCUUAACGAUGGAAUUGCCUUUGAUACUGAUGGGCUUGAAAUAGGUUGAGGUAGGCGGAAUGUGACAUGUAGCGGUGAAAUGCAUAGAUAUGUCAUAGAACACCGAUUGCGAAGGCAGCUUACUGGACCUUAUUUGACGCUGAGGCACGAAAACGUGGGGAUCAAACAGG
rnacentral:rRNA from 1 species